GCUACAAACGUGAUACAAUGGCUGUUACAAAGAUUAGCUACAGGCUGAGUUUUUAGCCAAUCUCAAAAAAACAGUCUCAGUUCGGAUUGAUAGUCUGCAACUCGACAGCAUGAAGUUGGAAUCGCUAGUAAUCGCGAAUCAGCAUGUCGCGGUGAAUACGUUCUCGGGGUUUGUACACACCGCCCGUCAAUCCACGAAAGUUGAUAAUACCCGAAAGCGGUCACCUAACUUCGUCACAAGAGGGAGCCGUCUAAGGAAGGAUCGAUGAUUGGGGUUAAGUCGUAACAAGGUAUCCCUACCGGAAGGUGGGGAUGGAUCACCUCCUUUCUAAGGAAACAUAAAGUCAUCAUCUUCAGUUUUGAAAGACUUAGUUAAGUUUUUCUCAUUUAUUUUAAUUUUUUGAUAUCCUGGGCCUAUAGCUCAGUUGGUUAGAGCACACGCCUGAUAAGCGUGAGGUCGGUGGUUCGAGUCCAUUUAGGCCCACCCA
rnacentral:misc_RNA from 1 species